rnacentral:rRNA from 1 species
GACGAACGCUGGCGGCGUGCUUAACACAUGCAAGUCGAACGGAAAGGCCCUGCUCUUGUGGCGUGCUCGUGUGGCGAACAGGUGAGUAACACGUGAGUAACCUCCCCCUGACUUUGGGAUAACAUCAGGAAACUGGGGCUAAUACCGGAUAUGAGCUCUUGCUGCAUGGGGGUGGUUGGAAAGAGUCGGCGGUUGGGGAUGGACUCGUGGCUUAUCAGCUUGUUGGCGUGGUAGUGGCUUACCAAGGCUUUGACGGGUAGCCGGCCGGCGAGGGUGACCGGCCACAUUGGGACUGAGAUACGGCCGUGAGUCCUACGGGAGGCAGGAGUGGAGAAUAUUGCACAAUGGGCGGAAGCCUGAUGCAGCAACGCCGCGUGCGAGAUGACGGCCUUCGGGUAGUAAGCCGCUUUCGCCUGUGACGAAGCGUGAGUGAGGGUAAUGGGGAGAGAAGCACCGGCAACCUACGG